CCUACGGGUGGCUGCAGUGAGGAAUAUUGGUCAAUGGUCGGGAGACUGAACCAGCCAAGCCGCGUGAGGGAGGAAGGUACAGAGUAUCGUAAACCUCUUUUGUCAGGGAACAAAGACUGGGACGCGUCCCCGGAUGAGUGUACCUGAAGAAAAAGCAUAGGCUAACUCCGUGCCAGCAGCCGCGGUAAUACGGAGGAUGCGAGCGUUAUCCGGAUUUAUUGGGUUUAAAGGGUGCGCAGGCGGUCUGUUACGUCAGAGGUCAUAGCCCGGGGCUCACCCCCGCCCCGCCGUGGACACUGGCAGUCCCGAGGUGUAGAGAAGUAUGCGGAAUGCGCGGUGUAGCGGUUAAAUGCAUAGAUAUCGCGCAGAACUCCGAUUGCGAAGGCAGCAUGCCGGCUCCACACUGACGCUGAGGCACGAAAGCGUGGGUAUCGAACAGGAUUAGAUACCCCAGUAGUC
rnacentral:rRNA from 1 species